AACGAACGUUAGCGGCGCGCCUAACACAUGCAAGUCGAACGCGACAGGGGCAACUCUGUUGAGUGGCGCACGGGUGAGUAACACGUAGGUAAUCUCCCCCGAGUGGUGGAUAACCCUCCGAAAGGAGAGCUAAUACAGCAUAAGACCACGGCUUCGAAAGGAGCUGAGGUCAAAGCGGAGGAUCGUAAGACUUCGCGCUUGGGGAUGAGCCUGCGGCCCAUCAGGUAGUUGGCGGGGUAAUGGCCCACCAAGCCAUAGACGGGUAGCUGG
rnacentral:rRNA from 1 species